AACGAACGCUGGCGGCAGGCUUAACACAUGCAAGUCGAGCGCCCCGCCAGGGGAGCGGCAGACGGGUGAGUAACGCGUGGGAAUCUACCCAUCUCUACGGAAUAACGCAUGGAAGCGUGUGCUAAUACCGUUAACGUCCUUCGGGAGCAAGAUUUAUCGGAGAUGGAUGAGCCGGCGUUGGAUUAGCUAGUUGGGGGGGUAAAGGGCUACGAAGGCGAGGAUCCAUAGCGUGUCUGAGAGGAUGAUCAGCCACACUGGGACUGGGACCCGGCCCAGACUCCUACGGGAGGCAGCAGUGGGGAAUAGUGGACAAUGGGCGGAAUCCUGAUCCAGCCAUGCCGCGUGAGUGAUGAAGGCCCGAGGGAUGUAAAGCUGUUUCACCGGUGAAGAUAAUGACGGUAACCAGAGAAGAAGCCCCGGCUAACUUCGUGCCAGCCGCCGCCGUAAAAC
rnacentral:rRNA from 1 species